GCAUAAUCAUUUGCCUCUUAAUUAGAGGCUGGAAUGAAUGGAUAUACGAGAUUAAUACUGUCUCUUUUUUAUAUAUAUAAAUUAGAAUUUAGGUGAAGAUACCUAGAUAUUAAUGAAGGACAAAAAGACCCUAUUGAGCUUUAUUUUUAUAAGAUGUUUAUGAAUAAUUUACUGUAUUACUUUAUUAAAAUUUGGUUGGGGCGACAAAGGAAUAUAUAAAUCUUCCUUUAAUAUUUAGAAUAAUAAUUCUUAUAAUGGAUCUACUUCGGUGAUAUAAAGAAAUAGUUACCAUAGGGAUAACAGGCUAAUCUUUUCAGAGAGUUCAAAUUGACGAGAAGGGUUGGCACCUCGAUGUUGGCUUAGAAUAUCCUAGAGAUGUAGCAGUCUCUAAGGGUUGGUUUGUUCAACCAUUAAAAUUCUA
rnacentral:rRNA from 1 species